rnacentral:rRNA from 1 species
GAUGAACGCUGGCGGCGUGCCUAAUACAUGCAAGUCGAGCGAACAGACGAGUAGCUUGCUCCUCUGACGUUAGCGGCGGACGGGUGAGUAACACGUGGAUAACCUCCCUAUAAGACUGGGAUAACUUCGGGAAACCGUUGCUAAUACCGGCUAAUAUCUUGAACCGCCUGGUUCCAUAGUGAAAUACGGUUUUGCUGUCACUUAUAGAUGGAUUCGCGCCUCAUUAGCUAGUGGGGAGGGUAACGGCUUACCAAGGCAAGGAUGCGUAGCCGACCUGAGAGAGUGAUAGGCCACACGGGACCGGAGACACGGCCAGAACCCCUCGGGAAGGCAGAGGGGGGAAAUCUGGCGAAAUGGGCGAAAGCUGGACGAAGAAACGCCGCGGGAGUGAGGAAGGUCUUCGGAUGGUAAAACUCUGUUAUUGGGAAAGAACAAAUGUGUAAGUAACGAUGCGCGUAUGGAGGGUACCUAAGCAGAAGGCCCCGGCUAACUACGU